rnacentral:rRNA from 1 species
ACGCUGGCGGCGUGCUUAACACAUGCAAGUCGAACGAGAAGUGGAGACGGAAACCUUCGGGCGGAAGACUUUAUUUCGAGUGGCGGACGGGUGAGUAACGCGUGGGUAACCUGCCUCAUACAGGGGGAUAACAGUUGGAAACGACUGUUAAUACCGCAUAAGACCACAGCACCGCAUGGUGCGGGGGUAAAAACUCCGGUGGUAUGAGAUGGACCCGCGUUCGAUUAGCCAGUUGGCGGGGUAACGGCCCACCAAAGCGACGAUCGAUAGCCGAUCUGAGAGGAUGACCGGCCACAUUGGGACUGAGACACGGCCCAAACUCCUACGGGAGGCAGCAGUGGGGAAUAUUGCACAAUGGGGGAAACCCUGAUGCAGCGACGCCGCGUGAGUGAAGAAGUAUUUCGGUAUGUAAAGCUCUAUCAGCAGGGAAGAAAAUGACGGUACCUGAGUAAGAAGCCCCGGCUAACUACGUGCCAGCAGCCGCGGUAAUACGUAGGGGGCAAGCGUUAUCCGGAUUUACUGGGUGUAAAGGGAGCGCAGACGGCUCUGCAAGUCUGAAGUGAAAGCCCGCGGCUUAACCGCGGGACUGCUUUGGAAACUGCAAGGCUUGAGUAUCGGAGGGGCAGGCGGAAUUCCUAGUGUAGCGGUGAAAUGCGUAGAUAUUAGGAAGAACACCGGUGGCGAAGGCGGCCUGCUGGACGAAAACUGACGUUGAGGCUCGAAGGCGUGGGGAGCAAACAGGAUUAGAUACCCUGGUAGUCCACGCGGUAAACGAUGAAUACUAGGUGUUGGUGCCCGAAGGGCAUCGGUGCCGUCGCAAACGCAAUAAGUAUUCCACCUGGGGAGUACGUUCGCAAGAAUGAACUCAAAGGGAAUUGACGGGGACCCGCACAAGCAGUGGAGCAUGGUGGUUUAAUUCG